GGCAAGGUGGCCGAGUGGUCUAAGGCGCACGGUUCAGGUUUACCUGAUCCUGCUUCAAAAGCUUCCGUGUAUCGAAAGGUGCGUGGGUUCGAAUCCCACCCUUGUCA
rfam:TPA: Aspergillus nidulans FGSC A4 chromosome IV